AAAAAAAUGACUGUUGGUUUUGUUUUCAAGUUGUUGUCGAACAUAAUCCGAGAUUCCAAGAUAGUCUCUGAAAACUGUUCUGUUCUUGCGGAUUGUGGACCAAUAAAUGUAUCAAAUAAUCUCUCUUGCGUGUGGUGCUACAGUGUAAUAUAAGACGGUGAAGCAUCCACAGCGGACUCCAACCCAGCAGAUCCGCGACCAACGAAAAUGCGGAACCGAAUCAGCAAUUCUCCUGUCUCAUCCCUUCAUCUGCAGGUAUUGUACAAGGGGUGCAUCCAAUUUCAAUCACUGGAGCAUCAGGAGGUAAAGGCAACAACCUUAAUUCAUUCAUUGGGAACUUUCAAAUGCCCGGAGCACCUUCGUUGAAUUCCUGCGUGUUCUGUUGCCUUUUCACCACGUUCAACAUAAACAUCAACCUGCAGUAGAGAAGCUUACACCUGUUGUGAAACCCACACACCACACACCUGAUAUGUCGUCCACCGGAACGAAAUGACAUCCAACUCACGGGUACUCCAACAGAUUUAGUCCACCUGAUUUGCAAGGCAGCGGUCAACACCCAUCAACAUUUGUCAAAACGGACGGAAACGGCGUGUGAUCUUCGCCGGUCGCUCUAUUCUAUCUACUUCGGUACCAUCCAAAGAUACGACGAUGACAACGGAGGUGAAAAUGGUGCAGCUAGAAAUUAUGGACGCAAUUGACCUGGUGGUGGAAGCUGUCGAAUGGAAGGACCUAAGUGACUAAGUGAUCCUGAAGAUUGAUUAUGUAAAGAGGAUGUAGGAUUUCGCCUCAGAGAAGAUAGUUCAAUAUGGGAUUUGCUGCACAUAUCUGUGGCUGCACGAAGCUUGAACUUCGGAGGAGGGCUGCUAUGCACUGAACGAAACAUCUUUGGAGGCAGUGGUAGUGGCAGUGGUCACUGCCUGUGUCUUGGUACUGCUGACCAGAUAUGGAUGCACCGGAAAGUAACGAUUAUCGUGCGCAAGGUAAUAGCUACCAAAAAAGAGUGCGAAAUAUUCGCGAAAUUGCCCGAGGCCGAGAUCUAAACGAUAUAGAUUUAUAGGAAACAAUUAUAAUUUCGAUAAUUACAAUGAUCAUUAUCAUCUAUAUGAUCACAAGCGUCGUCGAGACGAGAAUGGACUUCCAUAAACUUCAAUUUCCGCCAAUACAGCCACCGGAAAUCUGAAAUACUGCUUCUCUACCUAUAAGGCAUGGAUCCUGCUUUUCCCUGUCCAACAGUAACCAGUAGCUCCGAUAUGGUGUUCCAGUCAGUAAGUUUUAAAAUCAUGGA